ACGAAGAGUUUGAUCCUGGCUCAGGAUGAACGCUAGCGACAGGCUUAACACAUGCAAGUCGAGGGGCAGCACAGGUAGCAAUACCGGGUGGCGACCGGCGCACGGGUGAGUAACGCGUAUGCAACUUACCUAUCAGAGGGGGAUAACCCGGCGAAAGUCGGACUAAUACCGCAUGAAGCAGGGGCCCCGCAUGGGGAUAUUUGCUAAAGAUUCAUCGCUGAUAGAUAGGCAUGCGUUCCAUUAGGCAGUUGGCGGGGUAACGGCCCACCAAACCGACGAUGGAUAGGGGUUCUGAGAGGAAGGUCCCCCACAUUGGUACUGAGACACGGACCAAACUCCUACGGGAGGCAGCAGUGAGGAAUAUUGGUCAAUGGCCGAGAGGCUGAACCAGCCAAGUCGCGUGAGGGAUGAAGGUUCUAUGGAUCGUAAACCUCUUUUAUAAGGGAAUAAAGUGCGGGACGUGUCCCGUUUUGUAUGUACCUUAUGAAUAAGGAUCGGCUAACUCCGUGCCAGCAGCCGCGGUAAUACGGAGGAUCCGAGCGUUAUCCGGAUUUAUUGGGUUUAAAGGGUGCGUAGGCGGCCUUUUAAGUCAGCGGUGAAAGUCUGUGGCUCAACCAUAGAAUUGCCGUUGAAACUGGGGGGCUUGAGUAUGUUUGAGGCAGGCGGAAUGCGUGGUGUAGCGGUGAAAUGCAUAGAUAUCACGCAGAACCCCGAUUGCGAAGGCAGCCUGCCAAGCCAUGACUGACGCUGAUGCACGAAAGCGUGGGGAUCAAACAGGAUUAGAUACCCUGGUAGUCCACGCAGUAAACGAUGAUCACUAGCUGUUUGCGAUACACUGUAAGCGGCACAGCGAAAGCGUUAAGUGAUCCACCUGGGGAGUACGCCGGCAACGGUGAAACUCAAAGGAAUUGACGGGGGCCCGCACAAGCGGAGGAACAUGUGGUUUAAUUCGAUGAUACGCGAGGAACCUUACCCGGGUUUGAACGCAUUCGGACCGAGGUGGAAACACCUUUUCUAGCAAUAGCCGUUUGCGAGGUGCUGCAUGGUUGUCGUCAGCUCGUGCCGUGAGGUGUCGGCUUAAGUGCCAUAACGAGCGCAACCCUUGCCACUAGUUACUAACAGGUAAAGCUGAGGACUCUGGUGGGACUGCCAGCGUAAGCUGCGAGGAAGGCGGGGAUGACGUCAAAUCAGCACGGCCCUUACAUCCGGGGCGACACACGUGUUACAAUGGCGUGGACAAAGGGAGGCCACCUGGUGACAGGGAGCGAAUCCCCAAACCACGUCUCAGUUCGGAUCGGAGUCUGCAACCCGACUCCGUGAAGCUGGAUUCGCUAGUAAUCGCGCAUCAGCCAUGGCGCGGUGAAUACGUUCCCGGGCCUUGUACACACCGCCCGUCAAGCCAUGGGAGCCGGGGGUACCUGAAGUCCGUAACCGAAAGGAUCGGCCUAGGGUAAAACUGGUGACUGGGGCUAAGUCGUAACAAGGUAGCCGUACCGGAAGGUGCGGCUGGAACACCUCCUUU
rnacentral:rRNA from 1 species